rnacentral:rRNA from 1 species
UACGGGGGGAGCAAGCGUUGUUCGGAUUUACUGGGCGUAAAGGGCGCGUAGGCGGCCACCGCAAGUCAGUUGUGAAAUCUCUGGGCUUAACCCAGAAAGGUCAACUGAUACUGCGGGGCUAGAGUGCAGAAGGGGCAACUGGAAUUCUCGGUGUAGCGGUGAGAUGCGUAGAUAUCGAGAGGAACACCUGCGGCGAAGGCGGGUUGCUGGGCUGACACUGACGCUGAUGCGCGAAAGCUAGGGGAGCGAACGGG